rnacentral:rRNA from 1 species
AUUGAACGCUGGCGGCAGGCCUAACACAUGCAAGUCGAACGGUAACAGGAAGAAGCUUGCUUCUUUGCUGACGAGUGGCGGACGGGUGAGUAAUGUCUGGGAAACUGCCUGAUGGAGGGGGAUAACUACUGGAAACGGUAGCUAAUACCGCAUAACGUCGCAAGACCAAAGAGGGGGACCUUCGGGCCUCUUGCCAUCGGAUGUGCCCAGAUGGGAUUAGCUAGUAGGUGGGGUAACGGCUCACCUAGGCGACGAUCCCUAGCUGGUCUGAGAGGAUGACCAGCCACAAUGGAACUGAGACACGGUCCAGACUCCUACGGGAGGCAGCAGUGGGGAAUAUUGCACAAUGGGCGCAAGCCUGAUGCAGCCAUGCCGCGUGUAUGAAGAAGGCCUUCGGGUUGUAAAGGACUUUCAGCGGGGAGGAAGGGAGUAAAGUUAAUAACUUUGCUCAUUGACGUUACCCGCAGAAGAAGCACCGGCUAACUCCGUG